UGAGGAAUAUUGGUCAAUGGGCGCAAGCCUGAACCAGCCAUCCCGCGUGCAGGAAGACGGCGCUAUGCGUUGUAAACUGCUUUUCCAGGGGGAGAAACUUGCGUACGUGAUACGCAAUUGACGGUACCCUGGGAAUAAGCAUCGGCUAACUCCGUGCCAGCAGCCGCGGUAAUACGGAGGAUGCAAGCGUUAUCCGGAUUCAUUGGGUUUAAAGGGUGCGUAGGCGGACUAUUAAGUCAGUGGUGAAAUCCUGCAGCUUAACUGCAGAACUGCCAUUGAUACUGAUAGCCUUGAGUUUGGUUAAGGUAGGCGGAAUGUGUAAUGUAGCGGUGAAAUGCUUAGAUAUUACACAGAACACCAAUUGCGUAGGCAGCUUACUGAGCCGACACUGACGCUGAGGCACGAAAGCGUGGGGAUCGAACAG
rnacentral:rRNA from 1 species